rnacentral:rRNA from 1 species
GACGAACCGUGCGAACGUUAUUCGGAAUCACUGGGCUUAAAGCGCGUGUAGGCGGGCCGGCACGUCGGUCGCUGAAAUCCCCCGGCUCAACCGGGGAAGUGGCGCCGAUACGACCGGCCUGGAGGGGGGUAGGGGGCGCUGGAACUCACGGUGGAGCGGUGAAAUGCGUUGAGAUCGUGAGGAACGCCCGCGGCGAAAGCGAGCGCCUGGACCCUUUCUGACGCUGAGACGCGAAAGCCAGGGGAGCGAACGGGAUUAGAUGACCCCGG